AGGGGGUGGAGUGGUGCCUUUCCACGUUCACUUCCUUCUAGCUUUUUACAAACAAGGGGCGGUGGACUCCGAUUCAAAAGACUGCCUUUCUCACGUAGGCAUAUGCAUGUGAGAGCUAUGAAAAAAAAAGCUCAAUUAGUGAUAAGAUCAAGUGACUAUCCAUAAUAUAAAAGAAAAAGAAAAAAAGAAGGCCAAUUUUUAUCAAUAAUAGAAGAUCCCCCCAUGUGCAAUUUCUGCCCAC
rnacentral:lncRNA from 1 species